GAGUAACGCGUAAGAAUCUACCUUCAGGUUGGGGACAACCACUGGAAACGGUGGCUAAUACCGAAUGUGCCGAGAGGUGAAAGGCUUGCUGCCUGAAGAAGAGCUUGCGUCUGAUUAGCUAGUUGGUGUGGUAAAGGCGCACCAAGGCGACGAUCAGUAGCUGGUCUGAGAGGAUGAUCACCCACACUGGGACUGAGACACGGCCCAGACUCCUACGGGAGGCAGCAGUGGGGAAUUUUCCGCAAUGGGCGAAAGCCUGACGGAGCAAUACCGCGUGAGGGAGGAAGGCUCUUGGGUUGUAAACCUCUUUUCUCAGGGAAGAAAAAAAUGACGGUACCUGAGGAAUAAGCAUCGGCUAACUCCGUGCCAGCAGCCGCGGUAAUACGGAGGAUGCAAGCGUUAUCCGGAAUGAUUGGGCGUAAAGGGUCCGCAGGUGGCAUUGUAUGUCUGCUGUUAAAGAGUCUGGCUCAACCAGAUCAAAGCAGUGGAAACAUCAAAGCUAGAGUAUGGUCGGGGCAGAGGGAAUUCCUGGUGUAGCGGUG
rnacentral:rRNA from 1 species